UGGAAAUUUACAGAUUCAUCUCAUACUGCAGCCCCGACGGCACGUUGAAACGCUGGACAUGAAAUGAAGUCACUGUUUUCACAUUUGUUUUUACUCUCGGGUUUUGCAAUUGCAAUUGUUCCUUUUUUUUCUUUUUUAGCGGUCAUGACUUUAUUUUGGACAGUUCCCUGUUUCACAAUGAUGGACAGACGACACUGGCAGGUCGCUCUCGCUGCAGCCUGUCAGUGUCUGUCUGUCAAUCUCUGAGAUCAAAUUGGAGCCAAGCUGUCUGACACCACUCAGAACACCUCCACACACCCCACCAAUCAGCCAUCACAGCUGCAGCUGCAAUCCACACUCAUCAGCCACAGGAUAAAUUCCUAGAUCUCCUCACCAGUCUCAGCUGACUGUUGAGCUCACUCACCUGCUCCAGUCCACCACCUGAAGAACCUGCCAACUCACCCUACUCACCUGCCUGCUGUGUGUCUGGACCACCAGGAGCAUCCUCCCCAUGAACAUUAUCCACUUUUGUGACAAUAAAACCUUUUGCUAUUCGAAUCCUCCAUCUUCUGUUUCCUGCAUUUGGAGUUCAAUCAUUUUCUCAGACCUUUAGAGUGACAGUAAGUUAAACAGUAAGAAAAUAAGAUAAUAUAUAUAGAUCUGUUUUUGUGACCUUAUCAACUAACUGAAUACACCAAGUAUUAUAGUAUCUAGUUGAAUAAUUAAAAUAGAGUUUGAAAGGAAGCAUAAAUCUCAAUUUUCCUUUAUGUCCAAUAAAGUGAUCACCUCUCACUCUCAUUUUAGUCCAUAUUUCAUUUCAUUUUUGUUCAUAGCACAAGUUUAAUGUAUUCCCAAUUUUCCUAUAGUGCAUUUGUGAGAAACAAUAUGUGCUCAAUAAUAUGCAGCAAUGUAUCCUUGUUUUUGAGCAGCUAGGCCGGCUUUAUGUUCGACCAUUUCACUUGUUUCUUAAUCAUCUUAACAAGAAAUUGUAACUUGCUACUCAAAUUUAUUUUAUUACUGGUUCUGAGUAACUUAAUGAUUGAAUUUCCGGAUUUAUAAAGCUGUUUGAUCGACAGUUAAAAGUAGAAAACUGCUUUGUCAAAGUCAGAAUUUCUUUGUAUCCAGACAUUUGUACCUGUUGUUAAUGUGGCUGCAUCACUUUUAGGAGAAGUGUGGGUCCUUUGAGACUAGAUAUUUGUGUUUUAAAAAUUUUAAGCUGCCUUUCUACUGGCACCAAGGACCCACUUUGGCUCCUUUUUUUCUUUUUCUUCUUUUUUCUCCUGCUUAUUGAUUUUAUUUCAUUUCUUGUUUAAGUUAUUAUUCUUUUUGCUGUGUCUCUUCAACAGAGUUGUUAUUAUUUUUUCAUUCAUUUUUUCCUUUGAAGAGAGAGGUUUUUUUCUGUUUGUUGAUCAUGUAUUGUCUGGAUUAUGUCAAAAAGCUGAAAAACAGCAAAAAAAAAUAUGUAAAGAAGAAAAAAAACAAAAGAUGAGCCGGGGAAGAAAACCAGUCCAGGAAGUCUCACUGGGAGGACUGGUGUGACUCAUUUGACCCCGAAGCCUCAGCGUGACCUUUGACCCUGAAGCGUCACCACCUGAGCCGGAUUACGUGCAGAACUUUACGAGUGCGCUGCGGCUUUUCAAACAGCACCACUCGCAUCCACUUCCACUUUUGGCAACACAACUCCAAAUAUUUCCAUAUGAGAUGAGCACUGACAAUAGCCUGUGUGACUGUGUCUGUGUGUGUGUGUGUGUGUAUUUCACUGCGCCGAAAGUUUCUA